rnacentral:lncRNA from 1 species
CCUCCCCUUAAAAACAAACCUUCAGCCAAGCAGCGCGCCUCGGGAAAGCCGUGAAAAAAGGGAGAAAGGGACCGAGGAAAACAAAAGAAAGCGGGGCGGAGGAGGCUGAGCGCUCCCGCGCGGCCUCUCCUCGCCGCGGUCCGAGCUGUGGGACGGAGAGGCCGUGCCGCCGCCGAGGAGAAGCAGCAGGCCGCGCGCAGGGAGUGCACUGCGCGUGCGCGGGGCGGGGCGCGCAUGCGCCGUUUGGCGCAGUGGGCCGCGUGGGACGCGGUGCGCGCUGUGCGCUGUCAGCUCAGCGCCAGGCGGCUGUCAGCACAGAGCUGCCCUCAGCGAGCGGGAGGGCCGCUCAGAAAGAAGUGGAUCGGGAUGGCAAAGACGCUACCAAUUGGAUAGCGGGGAUCUGCGUUAAAAAAAAAAAAAAAAAAAAAAAGCCUGGCGCGCCUAUCUGUGAUCCCUCGCGGGCGGGAGGAGAACUGUAGCGCUGCGGAAGCAGAGUUGCAAACCCAUCCUGCAGAAAAAGCAGCGUCAGAAACGCGGCAGCACCGCCCGCCCUGCCAGCACGUGCAGCUGCCUUCCGCCGCCGCCGCCCCGUACCGCCCCCGGCACGGCCGCCGCCGCCUCCAUUCUCCUCCUCCUCCUCCUCCUCCUCCUCGUCGUCCCGCUGCUGCGGCGCUGGGCAGGAAGCCGCUCGCCGCCUCCCGCCGCCACCAGCACAGCUGCUGCCUGAAGAUGCGCUGCCUUUCGCACGAGGAAGAAGUUUUAAAAUAGAUGGCUUUUAAGCGGCGCUGCGUCUCCCGGCCUGCAGCCAUCCCUGCUGUCAUCAGCCCUCCUUGCCGGACGGCACCGGAACGCACGAGUGGCCCCGUUGAUGUCAGUCGAGCUGUUUGAAUGGGAGCUGUUAGGAGGGUUGCAGAACGUCGUGCUCUGCGUUUGUUCGUUAGCAAAAGACAUCAGCUCCCGCGGGCUCAGUCACAGAAACGUUCAGCGAGCAUCGAUGAAUGUCAGUGGCUGCAAUUCUUUCCCACGUGGAGGAGUUCAAUUUCACACCUUUGCUUCAUGCACGCGCCUGUGUUAGAUGCCACGUUGUCAGGCUGCCCCUCUGCUGCCAUCUGUCACACAGCGACAACAUGUAAUAGAACGUUGGUGGGAAGGUUCAACCUCUACUGCGGUACCACCACCAUCUGCCUCUGAUGUUGUGGGCCAACAUCAUAAAACAGGAGGCACUACUUUCGGAGCAACCCUCGUACGUUACACCUGGUAUUUCGCUAGUCUGUAUCUUUGCCUCAGAUAAGCGAAUGUGAUAUGGCUGGUGAACACUGCUGAUGGCACAGAAUCGUUAAGGCUGGAAAAGACCACUGAGAUCAUCUCGUCCAACCGUCAGCCCAUCCCACCAUGCCCACAGACCACGUCCCUCUGUGCCACAUCUCUCACACUUCCCUGGCCAGUCUGUUCCAAUGCCCCGCCGCUCUUUCUGAGCAGAAACUGUUCCUAAUAUCCAACUCAAACUCUCUCAGGCACAAUUUAAGGCCGUUACCUCUCAUCCUAUCUGGUCCGGUUUCCCAGGAUGGGCCAAAAUACAAGGCUGUAAAGAAAGCAGCCCUGUGGCUGUAAUUUAAGAGAACGUUAUAUCUGCUUGGAAAAAAAGUGUGACUCUGAAAAUUACACGGCAGAGAAUUCAAAGUAUGGAUGGCAACAGUAAAAAAAAAUAAUUAAAAAAAUGGCUCUAAAAUUGUUUCCUUGUUGCCUGAUCUGUUGAAAUUCUGCAUGAGGAUGAGACAGGAAGGUGUUCACUGUAAAGCCAUCAACAUUAAUGGUCGUUUUGCUGUUGUCUCCACUGGGAGUAGGUUUAGAAACUAUUUCACGCUGCUUUCUUCUAUAAAAUAACACGAAACUACAUAUGCAUAGUUCUGCAGUGUCCACAGAGGAAAGGAAGUUCCCUUUGCCUGACUGCGUGCAAUAGGGCACAUAGCAGAGAAAACAGAAGGGUACACAGAUAAGGCAGUUCAGAUAAUGCAGAAGUUCACUUCUGUAGCC